rnacentral:rRNA from 1 species
CCUACGGGAGGCAGCAGUGGGGGAUACUGCACAAUGGGGGAAACCCUGAUGCAGCGACGCCGCGUGGGUGAAGAAGCGCCUCGGCGCGUAAAGCCCUGUCAGCAGGGAAGAAAAUGACGGUACCUGAAGAAGAAGCCCCGGCUAACUACGUGCCAGCAGCCGCGGCAAUACGUAGGGGGCAAGCGUUAUCCGGAUUUACUGGGUGUAAAGGGGGCGCAGACGGCGAUGCAAGCCAGGAGUGAAAGCCCGGGGCCCAACCCCGGGACUGCUCUUGGAACUGCGUGGCUAGAGGGCAGGAGGGGCAG